AACGAACGCUGGCGGCAGGCUUAACACAUGCAAGUCGAGCGCCCCGCAAGGGGAGCGGCAGACGGGUGAGUAACGCGUGGGAAUCUACCCAUCUCUACGGAAUAACGCAUGGAAACGUGUGCUAAUACCGUAUACGUCCUUCGGGAGAAAGAUUUAUCGGAGAUGUAUGGGCCCGGGUUGGAUUAGCUAGUUGGUGGGGUAAAGGCCUACCAAGGCGACGAUCCAUAGCUGGCCUGAGAGGAUGAUCAGCCACACUGGGACUGAGAUACGGCCCAGACUCCUACGGGAGCCAGCGGUGGGAAAUCUUGUACAAUUGACGCAGGCCUGAUCCAGCCAUGGAUUGUGAGUGAUGAAGGCCAUAGGGUUGUAAAGCUCUUUCACCGGUGAAGAUAAUGACGGUACCCGGAGAAGAAGCCGCGGCUAAUUUCGUGCCAGACGCCGCCGUAACAC
rnacentral:rRNA from 1 species